CACACAUAUAUAUAUGUGUGUGUGUGUAUACAUAUAUGUAUGUAUAUGUAUACAUACACACAUAUAUACACACACACAUACAUAUGUGUGUGUGUGUAUACAUAUAUGUAUGUACAUA